GAUGAACGCUGGCGGCGUGCCUAAUACAUGCAAGUCGAGCGAACAGACGAGGAGCUUGCUCCUCUGACGUUAGCGGCGGACGGGUGAGUAACACGUGGAUAACCUACCUAUAAGACUGGGAUAACUUCGGGAAACCGGAGCUAAUACCGGAUAAUAUAUUGAACCGCAUGGUUCAAUAGUGAAAGACGGUUUUGCUGUCACUUAUAGAUGGAUCCGCGCCGCAUUAGCUAGUUGGUAAGGUAACGGCUUACCAAGGCAACGAUGCGUAGCCGACCUGAGAGGGUGAUCGGCCACACUGGAACUGAGACACGGUCCAGACUCCUACGGGAGGCAGAAGUAGGGAAUCUGCCGCAAUGGGCGAAAGCUUGACGGAGCAACGCCGCGUGAGUGAUGAAGGUCUUCGGAUCGUAAAACGCUGUUAUUAGGGAAGAACAAAUGUGUAAGUAACUAUGCACGUCUUGACGGUACCUAAUCAGAAAGCCACGGCUAACUACGU
rnacentral:rRNA from 1 species